GGUGUCCCUGGCCCCGGUCUUUCAGAGGCGUGGGGCCAGGAGUCAUGGGGCCGGGCGUGUGCCCUCCCUGUCCUCGGGGCUGGGCUGGCGGCCCCUCGGCUUUAGGCCGUGAGCUGGACUGCCUGACGGUAGAGUCAGGUUCCUGUUGCCUUGGGGGAAGGCCGAGCUCUGUGGCUCCCCGGGUGUGGACCGGCCUGUAAGCAGGCUGCGGGUCUGGGAGCCUUUGUGCUCCCUUCAGCUGGCAGCCUGUGUGGGGCGCCCGCCCCGUUAGUGGGGAGCGCCCCGCAACUGGUGGAGAGAAAAGGAGCCUCCGUAGGCCUUGGGGACCAGAGCCGCCCUGUAAGUGGGGGCCUGUAAGUGCUCUGGAGUCCCGGGCACUUUUUAGUCCAGGCAGCGGCCUGAGCCCCCUGUAAGCAGGGGUGCAGCCUCUUGGCCGCUGCCUCGCGUGCCCAGCUUCCUUUGCCCAGAGGGCCCGGCUCCCAGCACGGCGUGGGACUGCGCCGGACGUCGCGACGAAGCCGUGGGACAGCGAGGAAAGAGCGAGCCGCAGGAGCGGCCUCUUCGAGCUCAAGAGUGGAUCGGCGAGGCAAGAGCCAGCCUUCAGCAUCGGCGGCCUCGAGCUCAGAAGCGCAGCCGCAAGAAGCCGUGGGACGACGAGGCAAGAGCGGCGGCGUCGUCUUGGAGAUCAAGAGCGAGGCACAGGAGCCGAAGAGGGACGCGAGGGGCCCUCUGGG